UACGGGGGGGGGCAAGCGUUGUUCGGAAUUACUGGGCGUAAAGGGCUCGUCGGCGGCCAACUAAGUCCGACGUGAAAUCCCAAGGCUUAACCUUGGAACUGCGUCGGAUACUGGAUGGCUUGAAUUCGGGAGAGGGAUGCAGAAUUCCAGGUGUAGCGGUGAAAUGCGUAGAUAUCUGGAGGAAUACCGGUGGCGAAGGCGGCAUCCUGGACCGACAUUGACGCUGAUGAGCGAAAGCUAGGGGAGCAAACAGG
rnacentral:rRNA from 1 species